rnacentral:rRNA from 1 species
GGGCCAGACUCCUACGGGAGGCAGCAGUGGGGGAUAUUGCACAAUGGGGGGAACCCUGAUGCAGCGACGCCGCGUGGGUGAAGGAGUGCUUCGGCAUGUAAAGCCCUAUCGGCAGGGAAGAAGCAAGACGGUACCUGACUAAGAAGCCCCAGCUAACUACGUGCCAGCAGCCGCGGUAAUACGUAGGGGGCGAGCGUUAUCCGGAUUCACUGGGUGUAAAGGGAGCGUAGACAGCCAUGCAAGCCAGGGGUGAAAGCCCGGGGCCCAACCCCGGGACUGCUCUUGGAACUGCGCGGCUGGAGUGCAGGAGGGGCAGGCGGAAUUCCUGGUGUAGCGGUGAAAUGCGUAGAUAUAUGGAGGAACACCGGUGGCGAAAGCGGCUCUCUGGCCUGUAACUGACACUGAGGCUCGAAAGCGUGGGGAGCAAACAGGAUUAGAUACCCCAGUA